UUAUUUUAAUUUUAAAGUUAAUCGAUUUGAAACAUAAUUCCAAAAAAGGCUACAAUUUAACAAUACAAUAUCCAUAUUGUUUUAAUCCUUUGAUACUCUUGACAGUGAUAAAAAUAAAAGACUUGUUGAUGAAAGUGUGGUAAAAGUAAUUUACUUGAAUACAGUGAUGAAUAAAUGAACGAAAGAACAGUAAUAAGUGGAAAAACAUAAGGAACCGAAUACAAGUUAGUACACGAACAUACAAGACUUAUUAUUAAAUUUCCCGUACAAACUAGUUGAUAGCAGCGGUGUAAUAAAAUAUUGAGCAAAAAUGGAUUAUUUGUCUUGUUGCACGCCAUGUCUAUAUGAAAAUGCUCCCAAACGAUUUUAGUUCGUGUUUCCAGCUCGCUAAAACAUCGAUACAUUUAAAUGUUUCAAUACACCUUAAUUUAAAUUAUUAUACACGCAAUAUGUUUUCCCUAUGUAUAAAACGUCGAAUUUAUGCUGUACACACACAACUAUUCAUUUUACGCUGCCUUGCACGAUUUGCUUAUUGGAUGAGCGGAAUAUAUUGAUAUUUCGUGUUAUGAAAAUUUAUUCAGUCAAUUUUGCCAGAGAUCACGAACAAUUUCGAAAUCCUUGCCAGGUCAAAGAAAAUUGUUGUCAAACACGUAUAAAAAUACUGAAGUAAUAAAAAUUAUUAUAUAAUGGAACAACUA